rnacentral:rRNA from 1 species
AAACUCAAAGGAAUUGACGGGGGCCCGCACAAGCGGUGGAGCAUGUGGUUUAAUUCGAUGCAACGCGAAGAACCUUACCUACUCUUGACAUCCAGCGAAUCCUUUAGAGAUAGAGGAGUGCCUUCGGGAACGCUGAGACAGGUGCUGCAUGGCUGUCGUCAGCUCGUGUUGUGAAAUGUUGGGUUAAGUCCCGCAACGAGCGCAACCCUUAUCCUUUGUUGCCAGCGCGUAAUGGUGGGAACUCAAAGGAGACUGCCGGUGAUAAACCGGAGGAAGGUGGGGAUGACGUCAAGUCAUCAUGGCCCUUACGAGUAGGGCUACACACGUGCUACAAUGGCAGAUACAAAGAGAAGCGACCUCGCGAGAGCAAGCGGAACUCAUAAAGUCUGUCGUAGUCCGGAUUGGAGUCUGCAACUCGACUCCAUGAAGUCGGAAUCGCUAGUAAUCGUAGAUCAGAAUGCUACGGUGAAUACGUUCCCGGGCCUUGUACACACCGCCCGU